AUUGAACGCUGGCGGCAGGCCUAACACAUGCAAGUCGAGCGGAUGAAGGGAGCUUGCUCCUGGAUUCCGCGGCGGACGGGUGAGUAAUGCCUAGGAAUCUGCCUGGUAGUGGGGGAUAACGUCCGGAAACGGGCGCUAAUACCGCAUACGUCCUGAGGGAGAAAGUGGGGGAUCUUCGGACCUCACGCUAUCAGAUGAGCCUAGGUCGGAUUAGCUAGUUGGUGGGGUAAAGGCCUACCAAGGCGACGAUCCGUAACUGGUCUGAGAGGAUGAUCAGUCACACUGGAACUGAGACACGGUCCAGACCCCUACGGGAGGCAGCAGUGGGGAAUAUUGGACAAUGGGCGAAAGCCUGAUCCAGCCACGCCGCGUGUGUGAAGAAGGUCUUCGGAUUGUAAAGCACUUUAAGUUGGGAGGAAGGGCAGUAAGUGAAUACCUUGCUGUUUUGACGUUACCAACAGAAAAAGCACCGGCUAACUUCGUG
rnacentral:rRNA from 1 species